GGCCAAACAUGAUAUUCCUUGG
rnacentral:siRNA from 1 species